rnacentral:rRNA from 1 species
ACUACGGGAGGCAGCAGUGGGGGAUAUUGCACAAUGGGGGAACCCCUGAUGCAGCGCCGCCGCGUGCGUGAAGAGGUAUUUCGGUAUGUAAAGCUCUAUCAGCAGGGAAGAAAAUGACAGUACCUGACCAGGAAGCCCCGUCUAACUACGUGCCGGCAGCCGCGGUAAUACGUAGGGGGCAGGCGUUAUCCGGAUUUCCGGGGUUUAAAGGGAGCGUAGACGGGUAUGUAAGUCUGGAGUGAAAGCCCGGGGCCCAACCCCGGGACUGCUUUGGAAACUGUGUAACUGGAGUACAGGAGGGGCAGGCGGAAUUCCUGGUGUAGCGGUGAAAUGCGUAGAUAUCAGGAGGAACACCGGCGGCGAAGGCGGCCUGCUGGACUGAAACUGACGUUGAGGCUCGAAAGCGUGGGGAGCAAACAGGAUUAGAUACCCGGGUAGUC